CUAUUGUUGAAUUACAGCUGUCAAAACCAAGAUCAUCAGAUCUUCUAGCAGGCCUCUUCAAGAGACCACCUUGCCAAACAACAUAAAGAUCCAUACUGCAGAAAUACUGCCUUUGCAAGCAGUGACAGCUCCUGCUGGUCAACCCCAAAGCUGCUUCAUUUUCAAGGUGGGAAAGAGUGCAUGCAGUGACAUCUGGUUUCUGAUGGAUUGA
rnacentral:lncRNA from 1 species